rfam:Selaginella moellendorffii unplaced genomic scaffold SELMOscaffold_41, whole genome shotgun sequence.
GCGCUUGUAGCUCAGGGGAUAGAGCGUCUGUUUCCGGAGCAGAAAGUCACAGGUUCGAUAUCUGUCAGGAGUG